UACGUAGGGGGCAAGCGUUGUCCGGAAUUAUUGGGCGUAAAGCGCACGUAGGCGGCUUAGCAAGUCCCAUGUGAAAGCCCACGGCUUAACCGUGGAAGUGCAUGGGAAACUGCUGAGCUUGAGUACUUAAGAGGAUCGCGGAAUUCCCGGUGUAGAGGUGAAAUUCGUAGAUAUCGGGAGGAACACCUGUGGCGAAAGCGGCGCACUGGACCACAUCUGACGCUGAGGCGCGAAAGCUAGGGGGAGCAAACAGG
rnacentral:rRNA from 1 species